GGGGAUUUAGCUCAGUGGUAGAGCGCUUACCUAGGAAGCGCAAGGCCCUGGGUUUGAUUCCCAGCUCCG
rnacentral:tRNA from 1 species